rnacentral:rRNA from 1 species
GUGACCUGCGGAAGGAUCAUUAUCGUGACAAAAGACGUGAGAGGCGCUCCGAAGGCUGUCGCCGACUCGAAAGGGUCGUGCACGCCGGAGGCAAGCGUCCUCUUGCGUGAAAUCCAUCUCACCCUUUUGUGCACCACCGCGUGGGUCCCCUCUUCGAGGGGACUCGCGUUUUCACACAAACCCCCCCGUAAUGAACGUGUAGAAUGACCCCACUUUUUGCGAUGACUCGCAACAAAUACAACUUUCAACAACGGAUCUCUGGGCUCUCGCAUCGAUGAAGAACGCAGCGAAAUGCGAUACGUAAUGUGAAUUGCAGAAUUCAGUGAAUCAUCGAAUCUUUGAACGCACCUUGCGCCCCUUGGUAUUCCAAGGGGCACACCCGUUUGAGUGUCGGGAAAUCCUCAACCUCUCAGGUUUUUUCUGGGAGGCUUGGACUUUGGAGGCCUGUGCUGGACCAAAAGGGCCAGCUCCUCUCAAAUGAAUUAGCGGGGUCCCCUUUGCCGAUCCUCGACGUGUGAUAAGAGGAUUUCCACGCCUUGGCCUUUGGCUCUGUUGCCUUCUGGGACCUGCUUCCAAUCGUCUCUCCUAGAGACAACGUUCGAGCUUUUGCCUCGACCACGCACCCUUGACCUCAAAUCGGGUGAAGACUACCCGCUGAACUUAAGCAUAUCAAUAAGGGGAGGAAAA